AGUUGCAGUAUGCUGUGUCUGUAGAAAGGAAAUCCAGAGGUUCACGCAAAGAAAGAACCAACGAGCAACUGAUGACGCUGCUGUCAGAGAAGCCUGCUGAUGGGAGAAGAUACAUGGAAGAUUCGGAAUGUCACUGUGGCAUUACUACUUACAUUCUCAAGUGUUGUCGAAUCUGCAAUAUUUCCUUGUCAGAGAGUAUUUCUCAUGUAGAACCAGGAAUUCUUGUGUUUGACUGUGGUCAUGGAUUUCACAAGUACUGUUGCCAGGGAAGAGUAUGUCAACUGUGUUCAUAAACUUCCAAAAAUUUAAUUUUUGUAUUCCCUCAUGUAUGAAUAGCAAAAUGAAAUGUACACUUAUAAUUUAUUUUGAUUAUUUACAUGUCAUUCCAAUUAUUAAAUAAAUUUCAUAACAGCAAACAUGUUUAUGAUA